GACGAACGCUGGCGGCGUGCCUAAUACAUGCAAGUAGGACGCAGUUGCGAACGGGUGAGUAACGCGUAGGUAACUACCUAUUAGAGGGGGAUAACUAUUGGAAACGAUAGCUAAUACCGCAUACUAGUAGAUGGACCUGCGUUGUAUUAGGUAGUAGGUAGGGUAAUGGCCUACCUAGGCAACGAUCCAGAGCCGACCUGCGAGGGUGAUCGGCCACCUUGGGAGUGGGACACGGCCCAGACUCCUACGGGAGGCAGCAGUAGGGAAGCUUCGGCAAUGGGUGGAGCCCUGACCGAGCAACGCCGGGUGAGUGAAGAAGGUUUUCGGAUCGGAAAGCUCUGUUGUUAAGGAAGUGGUACUUAACCAGAAAGGGACGGCUAACUACGUGCCAGCAGCCGCGGUAAUAC
rnacentral:rRNA from 1 species